UCCCUGGUGGCUCUGUGGUAAAGAAUCUGCCUGCCAACGCAGGAGACACAGGUUCGAUUCCUGAUCUGGGAA
rnacentral:tRNA from 1 species